GGAAUAAUUUCUUUGCUCACUUCGGGCAGGAAGCUGCAGUGAACUACAGAAAGUUCACAACCCUUUCCUAGAAUGUCUGUUAGACAUUUCUAAAAACAAACACAACAAUCUACUCUCUUUUCAAGUUUCUACCAUCUAUAUAUGUCUUCAUUGACAAUAAGCCCACAUAUAUAAAGUAUAAACUAAACCCAUCAAAAUCUUGAACAAAGAUACAAUCUUUACUUUUCUUGAUUAAGGUGAUCACUAAGUAGGAGCAGCAGCAAAGUCAACACUUGAAAUGGCCUCUAUUGUCAGAGUUGCUGUUUUGAUAUGGGCUGAUUUGUUAGCUUGGUUUUCUAUGUGGGUCAUGGUUAAUUACUUAACUAAUGAAUGGAAGAUGAGUCCCUUUCAUGCUGCUGGGAUUGUGAACAUCUCAGAAGGCACGGCUGCAAUUUUGUCCGUGGUCUUUGCGUUCUUCGUCGAUGCGUUCAUGGGGAAUUACUGGAUGCUCUUGCUCUCAAGUGUUUCUUACACCAUUGGUCUGGGGUUACUGUUUCUCUCAACACCAGAUUUCCUCUCUAAUAGCAGUCAUGACACACAAAAAAUUCUGUUGUACACAGCUCUACCUUUAAUAGUUGUAGGAAUAGCUGGUCACAUGGUGUCUCUAGCACCAUUUUUGGAUGAGCAAAACACUGAGAAAGGUAGAAAAUUUCUGUAUCAACUACCCGGUAUGAUUAUUGUGGUUAUCGUUGGAGUAGCUGGGGCUAUCGCACUUCCACAUAUAAAGCCUUGGUCAAUCCGGUUUGGGGUUCCAGCCAUAUGUACUCUGGGGGCAACACUUCUGUUCUUGAGUGGUUCAUUUUCGUACAAAUCCGGGAGUCCAAAAGGCAGUUCAUUAACAAUCCUGUUCAGAGUUUUUGUUGCUUCUGCUACCAACAUGUUUAAACCACUGCCAACUAAUACUGAUCAGCUGUACGAACACCAUGGUCAUGGUCUUCGCUCAUUGACUCGUACUCCUGGCCUCAGGUGCUUAGACAAAGCUGCAAUUGGUCCGACAACAGUUGAAGAACAAAAACAGAACAAAUGGAGACUUUGCAGUAUAACAGAAGUUGAAGAAACCAAGGCUGUCAUACGCAUGAUCCCUGUGUGGAUGACAUUCAUUAUUUGUGGUAUAGUGCUUUCGGUUGGAAACACUUACUUUCUUGAGCAAGCAAACAAAAUGGACCGUAAGGUUGGAAAAGUAAACGCGCCGAUUACAUCCUUGCUACUAGUUUUCAUCUUGGCGAAGUUCAUAAUUCCUAAAUUAUAUACAAAGAUAGCAAAUCCCUUUGGAAGAUAUGCUUCUCCAAUCGGCAUAGCUGUGGCAAUGAUAUUUUCAGUACUGAGCUGUAUCACGGCUGCAAUAGUCGAGAGACAAAGACGAAAAAUUAUUUGGAACCAUGGUUUACUAGAAAAGCCAAAUGACAAAAUUCCAAUGACAAUGUUCUGGCUGCUUCCACAAUAUAUCCUUCUUGGUGCACACGAAGGAAUUUAUAAGCACAGCAUUGCCAGUUUCUUUUCUGGUCAGGCUCCACGGUGGAUCACGGACAAAUAUCGACGAUCUUUCAGUAAUGGAAUGCUAGGACUGGGGAUAAUGAGUAGUGUUUUAUCAGUGUACAUUGUGCGGAAAGUGAGUGAAAUGGGUGGAAAAACAAGUUGGUUUCAACACACCUUGAACAAGAGUCAUUUGGACUACUAUUACUGGACGUUAGCAGGACUAAGUGCUUUUAAUCUUGUUUAUUACACAGUAUUGGCAUGCUUUUAUACUUAUGGGGACUCAAAAGUGGAAGACGUGGAAGUAGCACACAGUGAGGAAGUGUCUGCUUCACCAGCAAUUAAUAAUACACAAAGUUUAGCUUCAACGAUGGUUGAAACAUCAAACCUAAAACUGCAUGCCCGUGAAAUGAGUGACCUUGCAGGAUUUCAAAUUGCAUAUUCAAGUCUUCUCAGCCCAAAUCGGAGAUAAUAGAAUAAGUAAACAAAACAUGUAUGCACACGGCUUUCCACAAUAUGGAAGUUGGAAGCUCCAAGACAAAGUUUAGGAUUAAAUGCUUGCCUGGAUUUCUCAGCCUGAUUUAGUACUUUCUCUGCCACUUGUUACUAAGAGCUAGCUGUUUGCUGCUUCGGUAUGCAUGCUAUUACUGGAGAUGAUGGCAGGAGCGCCAAUUUUGGUCAGGUUUUUGGGAAUCAACUUCUCAGAUGCUCAACAAGGAACACGGGAAAGCUGAGGAUGCACAACUUGCAAGAAAUGUGCCAUCUAUUGCUGGAAGCUGGUCAUCAUCUGUGCUAAUUACUUCUCUAUAGAUAAAUGCUAAAAUAUAUCUUUCAGGUUUUCCUUCAACAGAGUUUUUUUUUCAGGAUAUAUCUUAGAGUUUUUCCUCUAAGAUUUUAAGUAGCUAGAGUAUGUCAGUCUCUCUCGAGUACUAACACUCUCGAAACAUGAUGACACAAUUAACAACUUUUUAGUAAUUAAACUGAUCAAGUUUUUAGAACA